UCCCAAAAGUCCUACAUAUGAAAAUCUA
rnacentral:sRNA from 1 species